rnacentral:rRNA from 1 species
UACGUAGGGUGCAAGCGUUGUCCGGAAUUAUUGGGCGUAAAGAACUCGUAGGCGGUUUGUCGCGUCUGCUGUGAAAUCCCGAGGCUCAACCUCGGGCCUGCAGUGGGUACGGGCAGACUGGAGUGCGGUAGGGGAGAAUGGAAUUCCUGGUGUAGCGGUGGAAUGCGCAGAUAUCAGGAGGAACACCGAUGGCGAAGGCAGUUCUCUGGGCCGUAACUGACGCUGAGGAGCGAAAGCGUGGGGAGCGAACAGG